UUUUAUUUUCAGAUCUAGUGUGCCAAAAAAAAACUCGUCAAAAUGAAAACUAUGUUUUGGAUAAUCAGCCUACCAACAGCCGGUUUGGUUGUCGGUUUUAUUACAGUUUUAUUGAGUUGUUAUAAUCUCAGUGAUCUAAUAUAUAAUUUGGAAAACUUCGAAAAACGACGAAUUAAAUUAACGUGGUUCAUAUUUUUCUCUUCAACUGAAUACAAUUUUAAAUGGCAAAUUGCUAUUUAUAUAAUACUUUUAGUUUCGGGUCUUUUUCUUAUAAUUGGAACCAUCAAGAAAUAUGACCUACUACUUUUACCAUGGCUGAUUAUAAUGGUCUUUUUCAUUUUAUAUUCAGUCCUUUGUGCCAUAUUUCUUUUGUUCCUAGCCCUAGGGUUUAUGUCCUUUUUUGAUAAUACUUUUCUAUUUGCCGCUUUUGGCUUUAUAUUUUUAAUAAGUCUAAGUAUUUAUACGUGGAUUGGAAUUUUAACAUUACAUUGCAAUAUUCAUAAGGAAAACGAAGCACCUACUGAAGCUGAUGUUACACUAUACCCACAUCCUAAUAAUAAUACUGUUGUUAAAUCUUCGAGUCAACAAAGAUUCCAUGUAUAAAAAAACCAAUGUCGAUUUAUUUUAUAAUAAUUUAAAUAUCAUUAAACAAAUUUCCAACAUAAAAUAUAUGUUUGUGCAAAAAUAAUAUGAAAGUGCCGAAAGUUACCAAAGCUAAUCACUGCGACUAAAAAGGAAAAUGGAUUCUUCUUUCAACGAAGUAGUACAGGCGACAAUAAAAAUUGGAGAAGUGAAAGAAACAAAAGGGUUUCAAUCGCAAUAUGGCUAUUAUAAAACGGGUAUGCUGCUUGGACCUUCCAACUGCUGGAUAUGUCAUUGGCUAUUUGGGAAUUCUUGGUGGAAUAUAUGAAUCAAUUGAGACACUCUUAGGAAUUGCUUUUUUCGAUGAUUACUUUGACUCAAUUGAGACCUACCAUGCAAUACAAGAAAGAAAGACCACUGUCCAUGUUAUCCUCUGUGUAAUGUUCGUUCUAUGUGUAAUUGAUUUGAUAUCAUCCAUCUUAUUGGUUCAAGGAAUUAAAA